GACUGGAUCUUCCACCAGGGAAACCCGUAGCGAUAACAGGCAAGGGGGUAGGGAGUGAGCCCUGGUGGGUGAGGAGACCCUUUAGGUGACAGGGAGCCAGGAUGGUGAGUGGGGCCCCAAGGUGAGUUUCUUUGACUCAUUAAUGAGUAGAGAGGCUGUGGCCAACAUUCGUAGGCAAGGGGCCCAUCCCCAACAGUAGGGUCAAGACCCUCCAAUAGAUAAGCCACAGGGGCAAAGGUUGGCCCCAGCAUGUUCCGCCGAGGACCCCUAGAGCAAAUCCCUGCUUUUCAGGCACAUAAAGGUGAGUGGGCGUGUGAGCUCAGGGAGAUGGAGAGAGGGGCCUGGAGGAGGCCUGCGGAGCCUGGUGAGGGCUCUGUAACAGGCAAUAGGGGUUCAGAGAGGGGCCCCGGGCCGCAUCAUAUAGAGGCUUAGCCAAUAUGGAGUAGUUAGGAACCCAAGCUCUGGGGAAUCCCACCACACCCAGAAAGGAGAGAAGGUCUUCCUCAGUAGAGGGGUUGGUAUGUUAGUGAUGAGGCUCUUUCUGUCAACCGUCAUGGCUGUGUGUAGGGUCAGGAGGAGGCCUAGGUCUGUCACCAUGGCCAAGGAGAGCUGUACCUGGGAUGGAGAAGCCCUAUAGCCACGGGCAAAAAGGAAGUAGAGAAAUUUACAGGUGUCCUGAUGGCUGGCCUCAAGGGGGGACUGCAAAGGAGGUCAUCAACAUGCUGUGGCACCACAGGCUGAGUGAGAUGUGUGGACACUAGGUCCCUAGCCAAGGCCUGUCUAAGGUAUGAGGGCUGUCCCGGAACCCUUGGGGGAAACUGUCCCCGUCAGCUGAGUGAGUUAUAGGACUCAGGGUCUGUCCACGUAAAGGUGAAAAUGUCCUGAGAGUCAGAAUGGGGGGAAUAGAGAAGACGGCACCUUUCAGAUCUAGCACUGAGCAGUAAGAGGUCCCGGAAGGAGUGGUGGAGAGAGGGGUAUAAGGGUUGGUUACCACGGGAUGGACUGGGACGACCGCAGAGUUGGUGGAACAGAGCUCUUGGGCCAAGCCGUAGGAACCAUUAGGCCUUUUCCCUGCCGAGAUGGGGGUCAUAAGGGCAAUGAGGAGGUCUGAGGAAGCCCUUUCACAAGAGAAUGAUAGGGGUAAGCCCCAGGAGUUUCUGUGGGGACAGCGGGUGUUGUGAUUGGGCCAGAACAUGGAGGGGGCCUUUGGGAUGGAUGUGAAUGGGCUCAUGGUGUGAGGCCUUAGUAGGACUUGAAACAUCCGGGACAGUAGGGUCCACCUGGGAAGGGGUAAUGGGAAGGCCCUGGCAGAC
rnacentral:lncRNA from 1 species